rnacentral:rRNA from 1 species
ACCCCUAGACGUUCUGGGCUGCACGCGCGCUACAAUAAUACGCACAGCGAGUAUCACCGAGCUCGAAAGGGCAAGGUAAACAAUAGAAAAGGUACUGUAAUGGUUAUAGAUCCUUGUAAUUAUUGAUCUUCAACGAGGAAUUCCUAGUAAGUAUGUGUCAUCAUCACGCACUGAUUACGUCCCUGCCCUUUGUACACACCGCCCGUCGCUCCUACCGAUUGAGUGAGCCGAUGAAACUGCCGGAUGUGGACUAUUCAUAGUCUGCAGAAGAUAUUUGAAUCGUAGCGCUUAGAGGAAGGAGAAGUCGUAACA